rnacentral:rRNA from 1 species
CAGCAGCCGCGGUAAUACGAAGGGGGCUAGCGUUGUUCGGAAUCACUGGGCGUAAAGGGUGCGUAGGCGGAUUCUUAAGUCAGGGGUGAAAUCCCGAGGCUCAACCUCGGAACUGCCUUUGAUACUGGGGAUCUUGAGUCCGGAAGAGGUGAGUGGAACUGCGAGUGUAGAGGUGAAAUUCGUAGAUAUUCGCAAGAACACCGGUGGCGAAGGCGGCUCACUGGUCCGGAACUGACGCUGAGGCACGACAGCGUGGGGAGCAAACAGGAUUAGAGACCCGCGUAGUCCCUGUCUCUUAUAC